rnacentral:misc_RNA from 1 species
GUGAAUCAUCAAAUUUUUGAACGCAAAUUGCACUCUCCUCGGAGAGUAUGCCUGUUUGAGGGUCAGCCUAUAAAAAAUCGACAUCGUUGCUGUUUCGCGGUGGCGUUCGUCGGAAAUUGGGUCAUCUUAAAUCCUUUUGAUUUAAGCGACUUAUAAUUUUCUUUUUGUUCUAUGAAUGUGUCUAAGAUGUAUUUCUUUAUACGUCUAAGGUAUCGAUUUUUUUUAGUCGUGAUCAUCAUAUCGGAU